rnacentral:rRNA from 1 species
UGGGGAAUAUUGGACAAUGGGCGCAAGCCUGAUCCAGCCAUGCCGCGUGAGUGAUGAAGGCCCUAGGGUUGUAAAGCUCUUUCACCGGUGAAGAUAAUGACGGUAACCGGAGAAGAAGCCCCGGCUAACUUCGUGCCAGCAGCCGCGGUAAUACGAAGGGGGCUAGCGUUGUUCGGAUUUACUGGGCGUAAAGCGCACGUAGGCGGACUUUUAAGUCAGGGGUGAAAUCCCGGGGCUCAACCCCGGAACUGCCUUUGAUACUGGAAGUCUUGAGUAUGGUGGAGGUGAGUGGAAUUCCGAGUGUAGAGGUGAAAUUCGUAGAUAUUCGGAGGAACACCAGUGGCGAAGGCGGCUCACUGGACAAUUACUGACGCUGAGGUGCGAAAGCGUGGGGAGCAAACAGG